UCUGCACAUUGUUAGAUCUUGGAGUGACGUCGCUGGCUAGCUGAUGAACUUGCAAGUGUAGAUACUAUGCUAUAUGAGGGGCCAGUCUUUUGCAACAGCACAAGGGUCUCUGGCCCAAUGAGUGGAGUUUGAUAGUAAUGUUUGCGCUAAGU